rnacentral:rRNA from 1 species
UACAGAGGUGGCAAGCGUUGUUCGGAAUUACUGGGCGUAAAGGGCGCGUAGGCGGCCCGCUAAGUCGAACGUGAAAUCCCCGAGCUCAACUCGGGAACUGCGUCCGAUACUGGUGGGCUUGAAUCCGGGAGAGGGAUGCGGAAUUCCAGGUGUAGCGGUGAAAUGCGUAGAUAUCUGGAGGAACACCGGUGGCGAAGGCGGCAUCCUGGACCGGCAUUGACGCUGAGGCGCGAAAGCGAGGGGAGCAAACGGG